GUCCUUGGCCAGGAUGGUAUCAUAUCCUGCCAUCACAAGGGAGAGAAGGACGAGACGACUCAACGCCCCACCUGAGGCCCCAGCGUCCGGCAGCAGUCCCAGCUCCUGCCCUCCUCGGAAUCAGACUUUUCCUCCCAACACUUCACUUCAUUCAGAAGAGAUCCACUUUCUAAAUGCCUUGGUGAUAGCUCGGUGCUGGUGAUGGCGAGGUGCAGCCUGGCCUGGCAGGGAAGCAGACCUGCCCUUGGUGCUUUAGUGCAGGGACACACGUCUGCAACGGCAGGGACUCAUCGCAGGAGUUGGUGACAGGGAGUGAGGAAGACUGGGGAAGGCUUCCUCCACCUCCUCCACCCAGAACCUCAACGCACAGCCCUCGGGUCCCCCAAAUGUCCCUGUCUUCUCCCACAUGCCUGCCCCUGCCGUACCUAGGGCACAUUCCUUAUCACAUUUUAUUAUUUUUUAUCUAU